rnacentral:piRNA from 1 species
UGAUCACAGAAUGCUGGGUUGUUUGU